UACAGAGGUCUCAACCGUUGUUCGGAUUCAUUGGGCGUAAAGCGUGCGUAGGUGGUUUGUUAAGUCUGAUGUGAAAGCCCUGGGCUCAACCUGGGAAUUGCAUUGGAUACUGGCAGGCUAGAGUGCGGUAGAGGAUGGCGGAAUUCCCGGUGUAGCAGUGAAAUGCGUAGAGAUCGGGAGGAACAUCUGUGGCGAAGGCGGCCAUCUGGACCAGCACUGACACUGAGGCACGAAAGCGUGGGGAGCAAACAGG
rnacentral:rRNA from 1 species